CACGUAGGGUGCGAGCGUUGUCCGGAAUUAUUGGGCGUAAAGAGCUUGUAGGCGGUCUGUCGCGUCUGCUGUGAAAAUCCGGGGCUCAACCCCGGACUUGCAGUGGGUACGGGCAGACUAGAGGUGUGGUAGGGGAGACUGGAAUUCCUGGUGUAGCGGUGAAAUGCGCAGAUAUCAGGAGGAACACCGAUGGCGAAGGCAGGUCUCU
rnacentral:rRNA from 1 species